GUCAAAAACAAAAAAUUUUAGGUCAGACUCAGGACUGAACACCAGAUGGCUAUUAACAAACCUAGAGAUGAUGCAAGAUAAUUUGGCUAUGAAUAUGCAACACUUCAACUUUCCAAAGCCAUGGAGUUCUGAUCAGUCCUCAGCCUUGAAGAAUCUUCGAUGAAGCCUGAGGAACAGGGACAUGAAGGCUGCGCUGAGGAAACUCUUCUGUCAUGGUGCCUCCUCAUCUCCGAUGUGAGACCGCACCUCGCAGACACCAUGGUCCCCCAUCAGAAGCACUGGAUAUCACAGCUGCAAGGAGCUGCCUGUCAUCUUUCCAGCUUGAAAUUCUUUCUCUCAAGAGCCUUCUGAAGGUCUGAGUGGGCAGCUGAUUUCAACACAUUUCUGCUUCCUUGCAGCUUGAAUAACACAAUCUCAAAAUAUGAGAGUUGUUCCUUAGGGAAGAAUCUUCCUGGUCACUGUACAUUUCAAAAAAAAAACAGAAAGAGGUCCAAAAUUUUUAAUGGUGAAUGAUGGAGAUUAGAAUGAUUGAGAACAAAGUAUAGUGGCA
rnacentral:lncRNA from 1 species